CAAAUUAUAGAUCCAAUACCUUUCUCUGUAGGUUAAGAUUUUGUUUAGUUCACCUCCCCUCCAAGGUAUUUCUACUUUUUGAAUACCAAUAUAUUUAAGGAGUGUUGGGUCACUAUUGUGAUGGGUCUUAAAGUGAUUUGAAAGGGAGUGCUUAUCAAAACCUCUUUUGAUGUUAUAGACAUGUUCUCUAAGUCUGACUUUUAACACUCUUUUCGUUUGUCC